UUUCAGGCAUUUGCUAUUUGGCUUGCAACAGCUAGACACUUUGCCAGGAAAAUUCAAAUUAAUUCUGCCAACUUCAAGCUCCUUCUGGAAAAGGAACUGCCUUGUCACUGUUGCCCUAUUUGUGGGAGUCUGAGCUGAUCUAAGAUUAGCAAAGGUUACCUUAAGAGUUCAUGGAGGAACCUGGAAUCUUGAAAUCAAAUGCUGAUGCACAACUGCUAAGAUGAAUAGGGAAUAUCCCAUAUGGAUGGCUGCUCAGGAACCUGGAUAAAUGAAGGGCGACCGUGGAGUUCAAGAACAGAUCAGAAGUUGUUCUCAUCUGAAAGACUGAAGCAAAGCACAGCAAUAAAUGAGCAGUUCUUAGAAA